rnacentral:lncRNA from 13 species
CUCUGAGAAAACAAUACAUCAUUGUCUGAUUUUCUACUUUUUUUGUAGGUUUGCUCCAGUUUGUACUAUUAUUUCAGUUAGGCACAAUACAACUGAUUGAAAUAGAACUUCUUUUAUACUGGUUAUAAUCUCCUCCGUGAAACAGAAACUGCUAUUGCUUUUAUCAGGUUUACAAUAAACCUUACUCCUACAAGUAACACACAAGCCACACACCUAGCUCCUUGGCACAUGACUGAAUUCAUAGCUAAUACAUUUGAUUUUAUCUACUUGAGCGAAAUCUCCAGGGAAUAAUGUUCUCCAGAUGGUGGCUGCUCCAUCUGUCUGGGUCCCAGAUUAAGGACAAUUUACAGCACAACUCCCAGCUGACUCACAAUGACAUAGCAUGAGUGAGAAAUCGACCUUGCCGUUAUAGUUUCCUGAAAUAUGGGAGUUAUUUGUUAUUGCAUCAUAGCCUAGCCCAUCCUGAAAAAUACAGAAAUAAAUAAAGCUAUG